AUUGGCCCUUUCCUCCCCCGGGUCCCUGUCUGAUCCCGAGGACCAACCAAGCCAGAGGUUAUUCUCCAGACCCCAAACGUGUGAAUCGGCCAAACCUGUGUGAGACGUCCUGACUGCAGGCAGAGCAUCUGUGACCUGCUGCCGCCCCCUGGAGCCACCAUGGCAGAGGGGAGCAGGCAGCCUCCCACCCAGAGGGGAUUCUGGAAGGGUCUGCGCAGAGCACUCCUCCACAGUUUCCAUCGUCUAGCAGCCAUGAGGAAUGUAAAUCAAAACUUUGGAAUAUGUCGAAUUGUACCAGCGGAGGAGGAGGAGAAGACACAAGAGGAGAUGGUGGAGGAGGAG